rnacentral:rRNA from 1 species
UACGUAGGGGGCAAGCGUUAUCCGGAUUUACUGGGUGUAAAGGGAGCGUAGACGGAUGGACAAGUCUGAUGUGAAAGGCUGGGGCUCAACCCCGGGACUGCAUUGGAAACUGCCCGUCUUGAGUGCCGGAGAGGUAAGCGGAAUUCCUAGUGUAGCGGUGAAAUGCGUAGAUAUUAGGAGGAACAUCAGUGGCGAAGGCGGCUUACUGGACGGUAACUGACGUUGAGGCUCGAAAGCGUGGGGAGCAAACAGG